rnacentral:rRNA from 1 species
AGCAGCCGCGGUAAUUCCAGCUCCAAUAGCGUAUAUUAAAGUUGUUGCAGUUAAAAAGCUCGUAGUUGAAUUUCGAGACCGGUUUAUUGGUCGUGCUUUUGUACGUACUGGUAUUAUUGGUUUCUCCUUUCUGACGAACUAUAAUGCCAUUAAUUUGGUGUUAUGGGGAAUCAGGACUGUUACUUUGAAAAAAUUAGAGUGUUUAAAGCAGGCUCACGCUUGAAUACAUUAGCAUGGAAUAACGGAAUAGGACGUUUGAUUCUAUUUUGUUGGUUUCUAGGAUCGACGUAAUGAUUAAUAGGGAUAGUUGGGGGCAUUAGUAUUCAAUUGUCAGAGGUGAAAUUCUUGGAUUUAUUGAAGACUAACUACUGCGAAAGCAUUUGCCAAGGAUGUUUUCAUUAAUCAAGAACGAAAGUUAGGGGAUCGAAGACGAUCAGAUACCGUCGUAGUCUUAACCAUAAACUAUGCCGACUAGGGAUCGGAUGAUGUUAAUUUUUAAUGACUCAUUCGGCGCCUUACG